rnacentral:misc_RNA from 1 species
AGCGAGCGAAAUCUGUUUUGUUUUUUCAUUUCUCAGUUCUACUUCAUAUUCAUUUCAUUCUUUGGUUCUGAUAAUACUCAACUCUUCCUGUUCCCUUAGGUAGUGUUGUAGUUGCUUUCCUUUUCUUUCGAUUGAUGUGUUCUCCAUUCUUUGAUUUAUUGUGUAGGCAGUGAUUUGUUGUAAAAAGCAUAUGGAAAGGGAAUUUAGUGU